rnacentral:misc_RNA from 1 species
GAUGAAGAACGCAGCGAAAUGCGAUAAUUAAUGUGAAUUUCAGAAUUCCGUGAAUCAUCGAGUCUUUGAACGCACAUUGCGCCUCAUGGCAUUCCGUGAGGCAUGCCCAUCUCAGCGUUAGAAAAUAUUCUCAAAUUUUAGUUUUGUGCUAAAAUUUGGAUCAUGUCAAGGAAGCUAUUACUAUUAUUGUGAUCGCUCUUUGGAAAUUGAUAGGUCUUUGAGUUGCUACUCAUAGAACGUGAUGAAUCUUUCUUCGUUCUAUUGUAAUUCACUCUGGUAGUCCUAAAACUUGUAUGCCUGUGGCAUAUCUUGUAAUUUGACCUGAGAUUGGGUAGGGAUACCCGCUGAACUUAAGCAUAUCAAUAAGCGGAGGA